GAGGAGCGUUGGCGACGUGCCUAACACAUGCAAGUCGAGCGGAGAAGAAGAGAGGGAGCUUUUCGGAGUGAACUUUUUUAGGAUCAGCGGCGGACGGGUGAGUAAUACAUGAGGAACCUGCCCUCUACAAGUGGAUAGCCGGGGGAAACCGCGAGUAAUACUCUCUGAGACUACGAGAGCAAAUGCUUAUGAGGCUAAAGAGUGAUCGGUGGAAGAUGGCCGCAUGACUCAUUAGCUAGUUGGUGAUUGAACAGACCACCAAGGCGACGAUGGGUGGCCGGUUCGGGCGAGCGGCCAGCCAGAGUGGAAGAGACGCACCGUCCAGACUCGUACGGGAGGCAGGAGGAGGGAAUAAUGCACGAUGGGGGAAACCCUGAGGCAGCGCCGUCGCGUGAACGAAGAAGGCCUUCGGGUCGUAAAGCUUUGUCCUAUGGGAAGAACAGGACGGUACCAUAGAAGGAAGCCCCGGCUAACUACGUG
rnacentral:rRNA from 1 species